AAAUUUCCCGCCUAAAUGUAUUGAUGACAUUAUUUUAAUAAUUUUUUUUUUCUUUUCUGCUAAAUCCUUCCAUCUAUUAUGCCUAGAAAAUAGUACUAUUCCCAUUUCCCCCAACUAUUGAAAACCCUUAGGGGCCGUUUAGUUCGCUGGAAUGGGGAAAGGGAAUGAGAAUGAUUCCCUUUGUUAGUGUUUGUUUUCACAAUUUUGUCAUUUCCAUUCCCCCAUUUUAUUUUUGGGUUUACCCAAAAAUCCCCUAAACCCAUUCCCCACUCCCCUACCUUUUGCAUUCCCAUUCCCCUUCAUUACUCACGCCCCUUUCUCUCUCCUCUCAAGCCUCUCCAUUGCUUGGAUGCUCCCUGCCAUGGUCGAAGACGUUGCCGCCGCCGGUGAGCCACGGUCCGACCGAGCCUUCCGGUGUGCACGUCAAGAUCGCGGGUGAAGCUAAGUCGAACACCGACGCCCCUCUCUCUCUCUCUUCUCAAGCUUCUCAUAAUUCGAGCUAAUAGUUCUUGCGAGCAAGAUACUGAUUCUACUACACCCAAUUCAUCUUCUUCUUCUUCGUCGGAGAAAAACGACGCGAAACAGGGGAGCAAAGGGGCGUCGAAUUCGAGCUCGUCGUCGCAACCGUCGUCGUCUUCUUCUUCUUCGCCGAGGAGAGAGAAAGAGGGUAAGAGUUGGUUUAAAGGUUUUGGGGGGAAAUGGCGGUGGCAGCCAUUGAUUCAAGCUCAAGAAAUUGGGGUUUUGAUUUUGUAAUGCAGUUUUCAUUUUUUUCUUGAAUUUAUGUAACUUUGUGGAUUUGUCUUGUUUUAAAUUGAUAUUACUCUUUAAUUUGUUCAUAAGUGCCUUCAUGGUGAUUGAAUUUUCUAUAGAAUUUGCCAUUGU